UGAGGAAUAUUGGUCAAUGGGCGGGAGCCUGAACCAGCCAAGUCGCGUGAGGGAAGACGGUCCUACGGAUUGUAAACCUCUUUUGCCGGGGAGCAACGGGGUCCUUGCGAGGGCCCAAUGAGAGUACCCGGAGAAAAAGCAUCGGCUAACUCCGUGCCAGCAGCCGCGGUAAUACGGAGGAUGCGAGCGUUAUCCGGAUUUAUUGGGUUUAAAGGGUGCGUAGGCGGGCUGUUAAGUCAGCGGUCAAAUGUCGGGGCUCAACCCCGGCCUGCCGUUGAAACUGGCGGCCUCGAGUGGGCGAGA
rnacentral:rRNA from 1 species